rnacentral:tRNA from 1 species
UCCCUAGUGGCUCAGUUGGUAAAGAAUCCACCUGCAAUGUGGGAGACCUGGGUUCGAUCCCUGGGUUGGGAA